CUCCUGACUGACCGAUAGUGAACCAGUACCGUGAGGGAAAGGCGAAAAGAACCCCUGUUAGGGGAGUGAAAUAGAACCUGAAACCGUGUACGUACAAGCAGUGGGAGCCCACUUGUUGGGUGACUGCGUACCUUUUGUAUAAUGGGUCAGCGACUUACAUUCUGUAGCGAGGUUAACCGAAUAGGGGAGCCGUAGGGAAACCGAGUCUUAACUGGGCGAAUAGUUGCAGGGUGUAGACCCGAAACCGGGCGAUCUAUCCAUGAGCAGGUUGAAGGUUGGGUAACACUA
rnacentral:rRNA from 1 species